AGAGCUUUCCAUAGACACCAAGAACGUCGAAAUCUAUUCAGCGGAUUGUCCGAUUUUUGCUCGGGAAGAUUUUAGCCCAUUUCGACUUUUGGGCUAGAUUUCUCGAAAACCGUGAAUCCCACGAGAAAACCGAGGCCACCAGCACGCUCCAUUCGUCGAGAGCUUCGCAACGACAUAAAUUUCGAAUUUUUCCGACACCAUUUUUCGGUAUCCUCGAUUCGCGGAAAUUCGACAGUUGAUCGGGUCUGCAAAUUUCGGGCCAGACAGACCCGUUACCGGAAAAGUCUCCGAAUUGGGCCGAGGUUUUGGCUAGCCCCCCAUUGUCAGACGUCCCGAGCGCGUUCCCAAAGUCGGAAUCGGCAAAGGUGAGCCGGGACAGCCUUCUUCCUCCGCCCAGCCGCCACAGUGAUUGUCGUCAAGUCUGUGAGUAAAAUAUUAAUUUUAAUUGUAAUUUCGAUAUUAUUAUAUGUUCAGCAUGCCCAUGCAUCACUUAUAUGCAUAUAUUUAUGUAGUUAAACUCUAGGCACGAUUUAUGUUGC